AGUGGGAUAGCUGGGUCAAAUGGUGGUUGCAUUUCCAUAUUUCCAAGGAAUCUUCAUACUGCUUUCCAGAUUGAUUGUACCAUUUUGAAAUCCCACCAGCAAU
rnacentral:pre_miRNA from 1 species